UGCCCGCCAGGGAAGGCUGCUGUCAUGGCGAGCUCGGCGGCCUCCUCUGUGCGACCGCCGAGGCCCAAGAAAGAGCCACAGGCGCUCAUCAUCCCCAAGAAUGCCGCGGAGGAGCAGAAGCUCAAGCUGGAACGGCUCAUGAAGAACCCGGACAAAGCAGUUCCAAUUCCAGAAAAAAUGAGUGAAUGGGCACCUCGACCUCCCCCAGAAUUUGUCCGAGAUGUAAUGGGUUCAAGCGCUGGGGCCGGCAGCGGAGAAUUCCACGUGUACAGGCAUCUACGCCGGAGAGAGUACCAGCGACAGGACUACAUGGAUGCCAUGGCUGAGAAGCAAAAAUUGGAUGCAGAGUUUCAGAAGAGACUGGAAAGGAAUAAAAUUGCUGCAGAGGAGCAGACUGCAAAGCGUCGGAAAAAGCGCCAGAAGUUAAAAGAGAAGAAAUUACUGGCAAAGAAGAUGAAACUUGAACAGAAGAAGCAAAAUGAAGGAUCCAGUGAGACCCAGGAGCAGCCGUCCAGUGGCUCCGAGGAGGCGUCUGGGACAGAGGAGGAGGAGGAGGACGCGCCCAGCUUCGUCACGGGGCGAUGACGGGGCUGGCCCCGCGACUCCGAACGCCCUCCCAGAGCCUCAUGGAGAGAUGCAGUGGGAGCCCCUCCUGAGGACUCACAGCCCCGCUGCGGGCAGGACUCAGCCGAGAGCCACACAUUUGGUGAACAGUUCAGCUGAAUUACAGUGGACCUUACAGACCUGGUGCAGAUUCUUGGGUCAGCGGUCUACCCCUCUGUUGUCUUUUUCCCGGCCUGGUGUCAGCGUUAUUGGAGGUCAGCAGUGCUCUCUCUAGGCCAGUCCGGCGCAGAAGCCCUGAGUGGGAAAUAAUUCAUUCAGGAGUCGGUUUCUGUCAGUUUCCACUGUGCAUGAGCCACUAAAUACCUGAUGAGAGACCUUUCAUUUGGGUUGGAGAGAGUCUCAGUAAAUGAUGUCUUUUCCAGUAUAAUGUGUAUAUGUAUAAUCUCCUGGUUGUGGAUCACGGGGCAUCUGAUCUUCAUCCAAAGACAGAUUACUGUGAUCAGCUUCAGAAACAAGCUUGGAAUAUUCCUUUAAAACUUAGACUUUAUAAUAUAACAACAAGGUCAUCUUUGAUGUAGAUAAUACAACAACCUCAGCAUAUACAAAACAUCAUCUCUCUAAAUUACCCUUUGUGGCUCAGACGGUAAAGAAUCUGCCUGCAAUGUGGGGCACCUGGGUUCAGUCCCUGGGUCGGGAAG